ensembl:snoRNA SNORA63 Small nucleolar RNA SNORA63
AAGCAGGAUAAGUUACAGUGCAGCUUGUUCAAUGCUGCUCUUUCGUUCCCCCUGCACACAUCAACUAGUUUCCUACUAUCCCUGUCUGUCUGCAUCCCACAGCUGACAGGGACGCUUGGUGUCAGACAC